CUUCCCUGCCGCGGGACGCAGAUAGACCCUUCUCCAACACUGAGGGAGCUGGAAAUUUAACUCCUUAGCAAAGGUAAAAGCUUGACCAUCUGAUAUAAUUGGAAUUCAUCCACGAUUCAGAUAAGUGGAAUAGCGAUGUUUUAAUUAAUACAAAAAAACUACGUACUUCCGCUUUAACCUACAACUAGUCUCGCGAGGCUAAACCUCUCGUCAGGCCUGGUUUAAGAGGCUCCCUAACCGAAAACGAGUAGAAAAAAAAAACGGAGAACUAGCGCUGAACUGGUUCGCCGUCACCCUGUUUACCUUGGAAUAAUUGAACGAAUCCUACACUGAAAGAUCGUUGAGGCACGCGAAGAAUGGGAGACGGCACUUGGGAAAGAAAUCUGCUUACGUUGCAGAUGGAGGACAAACCCAGCCUGCUACUCUCCUUCCACACUGAGCCUAAAGAAGAGUCACUAGAUUCUUAUUGGGACAGUGGAGCUCAGUGUUCAUUGGUGGAUUCAGAAAUGAAAUCAGAGAAGCUAGAAAACUGCAGUCAAACACUGGGGCCAAAUGACAUUAAAUAUGAAGAGAAGAUUGGGGAUUUAACUAAUCAAGGUAAGUUCAUGAAGAGGGUUUUGUCCCAACCAACAUUUGUAUGUGGUUUAAGGGUCCAUUGCAGUGUUGGGUUCCGUCUUCUGUUCUAUCCACCAUCUCUGAUCACUUGAAACUGAGUAGACAAAGCUUUUGGUACUUGGAGUUCAUAGAGUAAUUUGUUUUAACAAGGUUCCCAGGGAAGUAAAACAGCCUCACAACAUAACAGGUCCACCACUAUACAAAGCCCUCCAAUAAUUUUGGGACUCGUGGUAUAAAUGUGCAAAACGGGCUGUGAACCUUUAUUUUUUUAAUUAUUUUUGUCAUUUAUUUGAAAUAUGAAAAGGUAAAUUAUUGCGAUAAAUGUCAAAUAAUUGAAAUAUAAAUUUUUGACAUCUGUGCCACAAUUAUUGGCAUCCCUAGAAAUACCUAUGAGUAAUAUCUAUCUGAUGAGCCAAA
ensembl:lncRNA